rnacentral:pre_miRNA from 1 species
CUUGUACUCCCUCUGUCCGAAAAUACUUGUCAUUGAAAUGGAUGUAUCUAUAUGUAUUUUAGUUCUAGACACAUCCAUUUUGAUGACAAGUAAUUCCGGACGGAGGGAGUACAUA